rnacentral:rRNA from 1 species
UACGUAGGGACCGAGCGUUUGUCCGGAAUCAUUGGGCGUAAAGAGCGUGUAGGCGGCCACUUAAGUCCUGCGUGAAAUCUUGCGGCUCAACCGCAAGCGGUCGUGGGAAACUGGGUGGCUAGAGUGCGGGAGAGGAGAGUGGAAUUCCCAGUGUAGAGGUGAAAUUCGUAGAUAUUGGGAAGAACACCAGUGGCGAAGGCGGCUCACUGGCCCGUAACUGACGCUGAGGUGCGAAAGCGUGGGGAGCAAACAGG